UACGUAGGGUGCAAGCGUUGUCCGGAAUUAUUGGGCGUAAAGAGCUCGUAGGCGGUCUGUCGCGUCGGCUGUGAAAACUCGGGGCUCAACUCCGAGCUUGCAGUCGAUACGGGCAGGCUAGAGUUCGGCAGGGGAGACUGGAAUUCCGGGUGUAGCGGUGGAAUGCGUAGAGAUCCGGAAGAACACCGGUGGCGAAGGCGGCCUGCUGGGCUAUGGCUGACACUGAGGCGCGACAGCGUGGGGAGCAAACAGG
rnacentral:rRNA from 1 species